UGCCAGCAGCCGCGGUAAUACAGAGGCCUCAAGCGUUAUCCGGAUUUACUGGGCGUAAAGGGUGCGUAGGCGGUGAUAUCAGUCAGGUGUUAAAUCCUCAGGCUUAACCUGAGAAUCGCAUUUGAAACAGUAUCACUAGAAGAUAUGAGAGGUAAGCAGAACUCUCGGUGUAGGGGUGAAAUCCGUUGAUAUCGAGGGGAAUACCAAAUGCGAAGGCAGCUUACUGGCAUAUUCUUGACGCUGAGGCACGAAAGCGUGGGUAGCGAAUGGGAUUAGAUA
rnacentral:rRNA from 1 species